AAGAACAAAAGAGUCGCCGUCGUCUUCACAGAUCGGGAGAGGGAAGAAUCGAGUGAUCAAGCAGCGAACGGAGGUGGUCUCGGUGGUGGUAAUCGAUCGGAAUAAGUGAGCAUCUCCAGUGUUUGGCCGAACCAAAGGAAGGAAGGAAGGAAGGCACGAGGCCGCGGCUCUGCAUCCAGUCCUUGCUCGUCGUAGACCACAAAGAAGACCGAAGGAGGAUGAAGCUCGCAGGCGGCACUUCGUCAGUCGAUUCGUGAAGAGGGUGUAGUCUCCGGAUCGACGAGACAGAAGAGACGGAGGGCGUGAAGAAGCAGCGAAGUUUUGCUGGUCUCUUCCGGCUGCGAGGUGUGAGUCGUUGGUCUUGGUGGGUGCUUUGCUCCAGUCCUUGCUCGUCGUAGACCACAAAGAAGACCGAAGGAGAAUGAAGCUCGCAGGCUGCACUUCGUCGGUCGAUUAGCGUAGAAGGAGGAGUCUCCGGAUCGAUGAGACAGAAGACACGGACGGCGUAAAGAAGCAACGAAGUUUUGCUCGUCUCUUCCGGUUGCGAGGUGUGAGUCGUCGGUCUUGGUGGGUGCUUUGCUCCAGUCGAUAGAAUAUGAGUGGAGGGGGUGUUCGGUGGUCACGCGGCCACGAGGAUGGGAGGCGAUCGGUCGUUGGGUGGGAGAAGCACCUCCGGUGCUUCACUGUUUCGCAGAGGAGAAAACGAAAACAACAAUGGUAAAGAUUCGAUCGGUAAAGAUUCUCUUCUCUUUUCUUUUUAUUUUUGACUGUAAAUCAAUAAAGUUUAAUCAAUAGGUUUAGAUGGGUGUUUGGGUUUGGUUGUUUAACAGAAAUUGAUAGAGAGAAAAAGAACAACGAAAAUUCCUUUUUCUUUGUUUGUUUUGAUAGAAACUGAUGAAGGAAUGGACAUUUGGGUGUUGAUGUUUUACAGUGAAUCGAUGGGUGAUGGAGGGAAGAGCUCCGACAGCAGCAUAAGCAGUGAUUGAAGGGCUGUCCGGCUGGUUCGUUUGACAGGUAGCAAGGAGGAAAAAAGGGGUUGUUCCCCCUUUUUUACCGGAAAUAGCAACACACCCCCGGUGUGUUCUUGGCAGCCCACAAAUCAGAAAAGAAAGAGAGAAUGAGCAGGGAGUGUUGUGAGGGACGAGUGACGCAACAAUGGAAAUAAUCUUGAUCAGAUUUUUGGGAGAUUUUUUUUUUUUGUAUUUCAAAAUCUUGAAAUUGAUCUUAGAGUACUUAGCAUUAUUGGUUUGAAUUCGUGCAUGGGUGUUUGUGUAUGUGGCAGAAUCGACAGUGGGUAGGGGAAUUUGAGAGAAGGAAGUAGCUUCAAUAUGAUGCUUGGUUGACUUUCAAAAGUCAAGGUCUUUCUUUGACUUUUUAGGGAGAUAAUGUGUUUUAAGUAUGGGUGAUGCUAAUAAGACACCCCUUAGUAGGGGUGAGCGCGGUGCGGUUCGGUGCGGUUAUUAGUCAAAACCUCACCACUAACCGCAAAUGCGGUUAAUCCAUUUUCAAAACCGCAUGGUGCGGUUAUUUUUGCGGUGCGGUUAGGCGGUUAUUUUUGCGGUGCGGUUUUGUUUUUUCUGUGUUGCGGUUAUUAACCGCAUGGAUUUGGUGCAGUUAUUUUGUGUGGUUUUUAACCACAGUUUAGAUUUCAAAUAGUUUUAAGAGUUCAAACAUAUUACUUGUAAUAAUAAUAAAAACCAUAAGGUAUAA
rnacentral:lncRNA from 1 species